UAGUUUCCCCCUGAUCCAUAUCCUAACUCCAUUUGUUUGUAUGAAAUAGGACCUUAUUGAGGAAAAAUCACCCCCUUUCGAUACGCCAAGUGUGUGGAAACGCUGCGUAAGGGCACGUAGCAUCCAAGUACGUGAGGCGUCGAGUCAAGAGAGGGCGCGUCGAUCGAUGUGGGUUGUCACAGAGGAAGCGUGUCCCGGGGCGUCAAUCUAGUAUAUUGAAUAGUUCACUUUGACCUUAAUGUUUCUUUUCUUGUUUUUACCUAGGCACUUAUGUCCUUUUAAAUAAGAUACGUUUUUCUUUGAAACAAAUGAUUUCCUUGAAUUUCUCGUAUAUACAUUACAUGUCAUACAAUGUUAGUCACGGCUUAAAGAUUAUGUUUUUUUUUUUUUGGGUCCUGACAAGAAGUAACUGAGGCUGGUUCAAGGAGGAAGUCUGAAGGUGUUAGCCAAUUGAAGAAUCACUCACUGAAGCAUCAAACAUGAGUGGAAUUGAUGAGUACGAACACUCCUUAAACGGGGCUAUCAGGAAUGUUCAUUCUUUCAAAAUGCUCUCUCUCAUGCCUCUUCUAUCCAUUACAGAGAUGAAUGAAGUGGAAAGUUUCAAAGAAUUAGAAGCUCCAGCAGCUCAGUUUCUUGGUGGAGAGAUCAGAAAAGCAACUCUCUUAAGAACUCUGCAUAACAGAUAGCCAUUUAGAUUAAUCUCUGUCUAAUAAAGAGUGUAGUGGUUCCUAUCUUUAAAUUACUAUUCAUUCCUGCUUUUGAAUCAAACAUCGAUGCAGUGUAUCAUUUGGAAGAAAAUAAGAUAUGGGAUUUUCGUGUAAUUGAGAAUCAUGUACAACUCACUCUCAUUAAUGCUGAGAGAUUCAAUAAAAAUUGGGUUAUAAAGUUA